AGUAGUUAUCAGGGACUGGAGAGAGGGAAGAAUGAGACGUGACUACUUCAUGGAUACAAGGUUUUCUCUGGGGGUGAUGAAAAUAUUUUGACAUCUGAUAAAGGUGGUGGUAGCACAGCAUUGUGAAUGUACUAAUUGCCACUGAAUUGUGCAUUUUAAAGUGAUUGAUUUUAUGUGGAGCAAAUUUUACUUUAAUUAUAAAAAGUGAAUAAACUUUUAGAAGCUAACCUUGGGAGAAGGUAGAGACUGGAAGGGGUCACAAGAAAGGCUUCUGGGAUGUUGACCAUGUAGCAUAACUUUCUGACAUUGUCAUGCCAUUUGUAAACUGUCAAAGUGAUGGUUGGGAGUGUAGCAGUGAGGACAACCAGAGGUUACUCUCAUCACCAUCUUGGUUUGGGUUGAUUUCUCUAAGAAGUACAUGCUGAAAUGAAGUUAAGAGUACAAAAUAUUUAUUGGAGCAUAGUAACACAGAGGAGACACAGGAUUUGGCAGAAAUACUAAACCGUGGUGAAGACCUGCUGAAGUCUGUUUGUCCAAAGGGGAGCUGUAAAGUAAAUAUGAGCCACGAAGGGAGCCCCACACUGGAUGGAAACGGCCAAGCCCUUUUACAACCACCUUCUCCUUCAGACACUGCCUGCAAUUCACCCUGGGAAAGCAAAACCUCAACUGUUUCUGCCUCAUUCAGUCUUCGUCAGUGCCCUAAGAAGAUUGAGAUUUGAGCUUGUAACUGUUGAAGCAAAACCUAAAGCGGUUAAUAAUAGGAGUUUGUCACAACUAUCUUAACACAAAUAUAAAAUAUUUGCAUGAACUGUAAUAAUCUUUUAUUUAUAAAUUAAAAAUUUAUCGAUAAAAUACAGAUUUCAAUAACAUUAGUAAAAAAUCUUUUCACUUCUCUUAAGUAAUUCAGAAUAGAUCAUUUUUCAUUUCAGUUCCUACACUUGAUCCUUAGAAGAAAAAAAACCUAUUUUUUUAAUAUAAUGCAAACACUUUAGUUUAACAUAAACAAGAUGAAAGGAAGACUGGCUGAGAAAAAAAAACUCUAAAAACUAUCUAGCAUAUUCAGAAGAUAAUUCAUGCCUUUAAGAUCAUUUAAGUAGUAUGUCGCCUUUAGUUAUAAAGAGAAAUGUGGAACUAUUUUUACAAUUAAUUACAUUUGUCAGCAGGAAAUAAAAUGUAUUCAAAAUUGACCUGUAUGUGAGUGAUGGUUGUAACAGAGUUAUUGAUUUUUCCUGUUGGGAAAUGCCCUCCAAAACUGGCAUCAUCUUUUCAAGUAAACUCAAAAUCCGGACAAUGUCUUCAAAGGUAGGCAUGCUGUUAACAAUGGUUCCUGCUGUUUUCUAUGACUGGGCAGUAAUAUCCUCUAUAAUAUUAGCCCCUGGAAAUUAAAAUGUCCUUUAUUGAAAACAUAGAA